GCUGGUUUUAAAGCCUUUCUGGACAGGACUGCACGGCCACACUGAGAUGCCAACCACCCCAGACCUUCCGUUGGCUCUGGGACGAGAAGAAAGGUCACAUCUCAACUGGAAGGAACACCCAGGACCCCUAACGCCUUAACUAAAAACAACAAUCCAGACCACAUCACGCAUCAGCCAGCGGGUGAUGGAGGAGGACGGAGGGUCUCUCCCAUGCCACUGGGGGCUGAGAGCCCAGAA
rnacentral:lncRNA from 1 species